ACUUGUACAACCCCAGCAAGCUACUCAAAUAUAUAAUAAAUGGGCUGAGAGUAUAACAGCAAAUGUGAGGAUUUAGAGAGAAAAUAUCCCCCAAGUCCUACUCGGCAUCAGCAGGAUUAGCACCCAACUUGGUCCAGAAGAUUACAGGAAACAAAAUUCUUUUUUUUUCUUAUUUUGGUAGGGAGCAGCUGACAUUUUCUGAAGGAUCAAGCUAGGUGACUCUGUCACAUUGUAAUUUUCCACAUUUUUUUUAUGUUUAGUGAGAGCUGCUGCUGGUUUUGCCCCUCUGCUGGGCAAACCCCCUGUGACAGAGCAGGAAUGUCCCUUUCCAAAGUGGAAAAAGGGACAAAGCACUGACUGCUCAGCCUGGUGUGGGGAGCAAUAAAAGCACUCACUUGCCCUGGCUGGUAUUAUUAGAAUUAACAUAUUUUUAUUAUAACAACUUCAACCUUUUUUGUUCUCCAGAGCAAAUGAAAACAAGAUGCUUCUACUGAAAGAUAAAUAGACAAAAUUAGUAGAGGAUCUGAAUCCCUCUCCUGCAUCAGCAGAGUGGUUCCAGAGGCUAAAGGAGGAUCUGCUGUCUGUGGGUGGCCAGAGCUGGUCAGACUGCAAAAAGAAACGAGCCUGAUUUCUUUUUCCUGCUGCUGUGAGACCAGACCUCCAUGGCUCAGGUAAUAUGGGAUGUCUGAUUUAUUACCUACAGCUCACCCUACAAACAUCAGCGUGUGGAGGGAGCCAAACAUAGGCC